AGUGGGUCAGACCAGUGAAUCGGGGGAUCUCCUCUGAAAGGAACGGAAGCUCCACUGUGGGUCACUGAAAAACGGCCACGUACCCUUUGUUGACUUUCUCAAAGGCUGGUCACUCUUCCUGCUGGCCAAACCCAGCCGGGAGCCAGAGACUAGGGGAGCCUGCGGAUGUAACCCAUGUGGAGGCAGAGGCCAGAGCAGAGUAGAGGUGACGUGAGAUGGAUGUGGAGAAAGAAACAGACACCCUCUCAGUUUCCCAGCAUCAAAGAUGGAGAACGGAUGCUGGUGUGAUCCCAGAUGUUCCGGGGGCCACCGACGGCAACAUUGAUGGAUCUGGGAAAUUCUUAGAGCGGCUUCCUAAUCUCUUUCCAAGAAAUGAAGGUGCUUUUGGCAUCCCCAA